rnacentral:tRNA from 1 species
GCCUCGGUAGCGCAGUAGGCAGCGCGUAAGUCGCAUAAUCUUAAGGUCGUGAGUUCGAUCCUCACCCGGGGCA